CCUGCCUCAGCCUCCCAAGUAGCUGGGACUACAGCAACUGUGGAAGACCAGAUUCUCAAGAAGGAGAUGCUGAGAUAGAGUUUGGGAGGCAAAAUGUUUAUUAAGGACCCAUACCUGUGAAAGGAAGGAAGAAAAAGCAGGACUGGGCAGAGGGAAAGUCAACCUGUGCUGCAGGCUCGACCAAGCUCAGCCGAUCAGCAGGUCACUCUAGAAUGAGAAGUGCUCAUCAGGGCUUUCCAGCAUCAAGUUUAAAUGGCUGGACCUUUAUACCUCUGCCUUGCUCAGUCACCAAAUGUGGGCUACCCCAGGAAGGGCAUGACCUCAGGUGAGGCAGCCCUGCAGCUGAAGCAGGCUCUGAAGGAACUGAAAGCUGGUAUUGUCUGCUGCCCUCUCUCUGCAGCUAGGCAGCAUGUCCUUUCUUGAAGGCGAUCUGGGCAACACAUCACCAUGUGUCUCACAAUGACAUACAGACAUGAAGGGACAUAAAUCCUAAGUAUACAAUUUGGUGAACUCACCCAGCUCAAAAAGUAGAAAUGAUCUGCAUCACAGAACCCCCAUUUAUUCCUCUUCUCAGUCAAUCUCUCUUCCCAAGGUAACCACUAUCCUUCUUCUAUCACCAUAGACUCAUUUACCUGCUUUUUAAAUUUUUAACUGUGGUCAAAUACACAUAAUAUAAAACUUA